GCCACCUUCGGGUGUGCCAUACGAUAAAAUUGGAACGAUACAGAGAAGAUUAGCAUUGCCCCUGCAGAAGGAUGACAAUCUAUGACUAGAGAGGUGUGACUUCGGUCACAAAUAUUU
rnacentral:snRNA from 1 species